AUGACUUAAAAGGUGAGUACUCGUUUCUUUUUUAUGUUAAUAAGUGACACUGAAGCUGGAAGAACAGAGGACUGUAGGAUCACACAGCCAGGGACAAGCCAGUAGCUUAAGUGUUCUUAACCCUUUGACAUCUGCUAUACUACUCAGUAGUGAGUCCUGGCAUCCAUUAUAGCAGUAUGGAAACACUGGCAGACACUUGGCUUAUUGAUCACCUUUUGGUACAACAAUAAGCUACGCCAUAUGCAAAGACUGUGUAUGAGGAAUAUGUAUCUGAUUAUGUAUAGAUAGAUUAAGAGCAANNNNNNNNNNNNNNGCCACUCCAUAUUUUCAUUCACAGGUUUCUCCUCAGCCCAUUCUUUCUCCAAAACCUGCCUGUUCUGCAUGGUGUUCUUUGAUCCUCUCACAGUCCUGAUGCUCGCGACCAGGAACACCUGCUCCAAGCUGCUGUGACAUUCACAUUCAGACCCUUACUUGGAAGGCUACCCUCUCUAGUAUCUGGCCAGGUGCAAACUGUUGGGGAAUCAAGGGGAUCUCUCUCUCCCUUCCUCUCCCCAAAAGUUUUUGGUACACCAUUCCCAACUUUUUUUCACAACUUCAUUUGCUCUUGAGACAUCACAAUCCCUGACUGCCUAACAAUCUGGUCUCAACCUCUCCCACACCCCUGUAACUCACCUUGACAUUUCCUGCUGUUGUUAGCUUCUGAUGGCUUCUCACAUUUAUAGUCCGUGUGAGCCUCAGAAAGGCAAGUUUUGUGCAGUUCCAACCUUCUCCUACUUGAACGAAUCGGGAGUGGGUGCUUUUUUGUUUUGUUUUGUUUUGUUUUUCUAUAAAAGCAGGACAGAGAGAUUUCUCAUUAUUCCAGGGAAACAUCCCCUCACUAGUACAAGAGUACAUUUGCAAACCAGCCUUUCAAAGAGCUAUUUCAAAAGCAAUAAGCAAGUGGUUCCAUGGUGAGGAUUACAAACACACCCUCAGGGUCAGUCAAGGGUGAGGAGGACAGUUCUACUAUGACAAGACACAUUGGGCCAGACUCCGUGGGAGAGUGUCAGACAUACAUCUUUAAAGUGCUGUAUCACAAACAGCUUAGAUGCAAGCAAAGGAGAGCUACUUAAAGAAACUAGGUGUAGAUAUCAUGAAGGUGUUGAUUCAAAAGAUGCUUGUGGAGAAUUUGAAGCUAAUUGUUAACUUAAUGUGAGAAUGGGGAAAANNNNNNNNNNNNNNNNNNNNNNNNNNNNNN
ensembl:lincRNA A530017D24Rik RIKEN cDNA A530017D24 gene